rnacentral:rRNA from 1 species
AUUGAACGCUGGCGGCAGGCUUAACACAUGCAGGUCGAGCGGGGGAAGGUAGCUUGCUACCGGACCUAGCGGCGGACGGGUGAGUAAUGCUUAGGAAUCUGCCUAUUAGUGGGGGACAACAUCUCGAAAGGGAUGCUAAUACCGCAUACGUCCUACGGGAGAAAGCAGGGGAUCUUCGGACCUUGCGCUAAUAGCUGAGCCUAAGUCGGAUUAGCUAGUUGGUGGGGUAAAGGCCUACCAAGGCGACGAUCUGUAGCGGGUCUGAGAGGAUGAUCCGCAACACUGGGACUGAGAGACGGCCCAGACUCCAGCGGGAGGCAGCAGUGGGGAAUAUUGGACAAUGGGGGGCACCCUGAUCCAGCCAUGCCGCGGGUGUGAAGAAGGCCUUAUGGUUGUAAAGCACUUUAAGCGAGGAGGAGGCUACUCUAGUUAAUACCUAGGGAUAGUGGACGUUACUCGCAGAAUAAGCACCGGCUAACUCUGUGCCAGCCGCCGCGGUAA